AUUCCUUUCAGCAAUUACAUUUCUAUUCAGCGAGAAAGGUCAAGAGACAGUUCGACUAUUGCAACAACGUUGUAAAAUUAAUGCAAUAUAGCCGAAAUGGCUUCUUGACUUUUCUUUCUUAAUGGAUGAAGUCAAACUGCAUUGCCACGAGUCUCAAUGUGGCUCGAGACUCCUGUUUGACCCGGAGGUGAAGAUGAAUUUUGCGGCCGGAACAGCAGGAAAGAAAGUGAAAAUAACGACGCAGAAGGUGACAUCGGAGCAGCGAGGGAAUCCUGCGAAGCUGAUAUCUCGAGCAGCCUGAGAGGAGGAGGAGGCCUAGGAUAGGCAUCGGGCAUCGGCGUACCAACACUUCUAAAAAUAUCCACGCUGAUAGGACCAUCAGUUUCGCAUCGAGGGAACACGAUGGACAUCUCGAGCAGCCUGAGAGGAGGUGGAGGCCUCGACCUGACAAAUCAGGAUACGCCAAAGCUUGUGCGUUACU